GAUGAACGCUGGCGGCGUGCCUAAUACAUGCCAGUCGAGCGAACAGACGAGGAGCUUGCUCCUCUCACGUUAGCGGCGGACUGGUGAGUAACACGUUGAUAACCUACCUAUAAGACUGGGAUAACUGCGUGAAACCGGAGCUAAUACCGGAUAAUAUAUUGAACCGCAUGAUUCAAUAGUGAAUGACGGUUUUGCUGUCACUUAUAGAUGGAUCCGCGCCGCAUUAGCUAGUUGGUAAGGUAACGGCUUACCAAGGCGACAAUGCGUAGCCGACCUGAGAGGGUGAUCGGCAACACUGGACCUGAGAAACGGCCCAGACUCCUACGGGAGGCAGCAGUAGGGAAUCUUCCGCAAUGGGCGAAAGCCUGACGGAGCAACGCCGCGUGAGUGAUGAAGGUCUUCGGAUCGUAAAACUCUGUUAUUAGGGAAGAACAAAUGUGUAAGUAACUAUGCACGUCUUGACGGUACCUAAUCAGAAAGCCACGGCUAACUACGUG
rnacentral:rRNA from 1 species